UACGGGGGGGGCAAGCGUUGUUCGGAAUUACUGGGCGGAAAGGGCUCGUAGGUGGCCAACUAAGUCGGACGUGAAAUCCCUCAGCUUAACUGGGGAACUGCGUCCGAUACUGGAUGGCUUGAGUUUGGGAGAGGGAUGCGGAAUUCCAGGUGUAGCGGUGAAAUGCGUAGAGAUCAGCAGGAACACCCGUGGCGAAGGCGGCCCCCUGGGCCGUACCUGACGCUGAGGCGCGAAGGCUAGGGGAGCGAACGGG
rnacentral:rRNA from 1 species